rnacentral:rRNA from 1 species
CUUGCUCCACCGGAAAAAGAAGAGUGGCGAACGGGUGAGUAACACGUGGGUAACCUGCCCAUCAGAAGGGGAUAACACUUGGAAACAGGUGCUAAUACCGUAUAACAAUCGAAACCGCAUGGUUUUGAUUUGAAAGGCGCUUUCGGGUGUCGCUGAUGGAUGGACCCGCGGUGCAUUAGCUAGUUGGUGAGGUAACGGCUCACCAAGGCCACGAUGCAUAGCCGACCUGAGAGGGUGAUCGGCCACAUUGGGACUGAGACACGGCCCAAACUCCUACGGGAGGCAGCAGUAGGGAAUCUUCGGCAAUGGACGAAAGUCUGACCGAGCAACGCCGCGUGAGUGAAGAAGGUUUUCGGAUCGUAAAACUCUGUUGUUAGAGAAGAACAAGGAUGAGAGUAACUGUUCAUCCCUUGACGGUAUCUAACCAGAAAGCCACGGCUAACUACGUGCCAGCAGCCGCGGUAAUACGUAGGUGGCAAGCGUUGUCCGGAUUUAUUGGGCGUAAAGCGAGCGCAGGCGGUUUCUUAAGUCUGAUGUGAAAGCCCCCGGCUCAACCGGGGAGGGUCAUUGGAAACUGGGAGACUUGAGUGCAGAAGAGGAGAGUGGAAUUCCAUGUGUAGCGGUGAAAUGCGUAGAUAUAUGGAGGAACACCAGUGGCGAAGGCGGCUCUCUGGUCUGUAACUGACGCUGAGGCUCGAAAGCGUGGGGAGCAAACAGGAUUAGAUACCCUGGUAGUCCACGCCGUAAACGAUGAGUGCUAAGUGUUGGAGGGUUUCCGCCCUUCAGUGCUGCAGCUAACGCAUUAAGCACUCCGCCUGGGGAGUACGACCGCAAGGUUGAAACUCAAAGGAAUUGACGGGGGCCCGCACAAGCGGUGGAGCAUGUGGUUUAAUUCGAAGCAACGCGAAGAACCUUACCAGGUCUUGACAUCCUUUGACCACUCUAGAGAUAGAGCUUCCCCUUCGGGGGCAAAGUGACAGGUGGUGCAUGGUUGUCGUCAGCUCGUGUCGUGAGAUGUUGGGUUAAGUCCCGCAACGAGCGCAACCCUUAUUGUUAGUUGCCAUCAUUCAGUUGGGCACUCUAGCAAGACUGCCGGUGACAAACCGGAGGAAGGUGGGGAUGACGUCAAAUCAUCAUGCCCCUUAUGACCUGGGCUACACACGUGCUACAAUGGGAAGUACAACGAGUCGCGAAGUCGCGAGGCUAAGCUAAUCUCUUAAAGCUUCUCUCAGUUCGGAUUGUAGGCUGCAACUCGCCUACAUGAAGCCGGAAUCGCUAGUAAUCGCGGAUCAGCACGCCGCGGUGAAUACGUUCCCGGGCCUUGUACACACCGCCCGUCACACCACGAGAGUU